AGGAGACGGCCUCGCCGUGCCCAGGCGGUCGCGGAACCCAUGCCACCUCGCGCUCCUCUGACCUGGGCUCGCCCUGCUUCCCUCAAGGAAACUACCGGACGCAGCUGUAUGACAAGCAGCGGGAGGAGUACCAGCCGGCCACCCCGGGGCUUGGCAUGUUUGUGGAGGUGAAGGACCCAGAGGACAAGGUCAUCCUGGCCCGGCAGUAUGGCUCCGAGGGCAGGUUCACUUUCACUUCCCAUACCCCUGGCGAGCACCAGAUCUGUCUUCACUCCAAUUCCACCAAGUUCUCCCUCUUUGCUGGAGGCAUGCUGAGAGUUCACCUGGACAUCCAGGUAGGUGAACAUGCCAACGACUAUGCAGAAAUUGCUGCUAAAGACAAGUUGAGUGAGUUGCAGCUACGAGUGCGACAGCUGGUGGAACAAGUGGAGCAGAUCCAGAAAGAGCAGAACUACCAGCGGUGGCGAGAGGAGCGCUUCCGGCAGACCAGUGAGAGCACCAACCAGCGGGUGCUGUGGUGGUCCAUUCUGCAGACCCUCAUCCUCGUGGCCAUCGGUGUCUGGCAGAUGCGGCACCUCAAGAGCUUCUUUGAAGCCAAGAAGCUUGUGUAGCUGUCCCAGGCGUCACAACCCAUCCUCCCAGGCUGGGGGAGAAAGGACCUCCUGGAACUGACUUCUUCUGUCAGGAGGACUGGUUUCCAGCCAUACCUGUUCUGGAAGGGAGAGGGGCUGGAGGCACCCACAGGUACAAGCUGAAGGCAGCAGCUUGGCUA
rnacentral:sRNA from 1 species